AUUUGUUGAGAGGCGGUAGAAUCAGUGUGGAGGCCACCUUAUCGAUUCUGGUAACAAGUUUUGGGGUUAGUAAACGAAGUGGGUAGCGGGUCUGUUAUGAGGCGGUAAAGUCGGUGUUGAGGUAGGUUCAUCGAUUCUAGCAACAAGUUUUUGGUGUAGGCGAAAUGGAGAGUGGCUUUGUUGGUCGUGCUGAGGUAGGUUCAUCGAUUCUAGCAACAAGUUUUUGGUGUAGGCGAAAUGGAGAGUGGUUUUGUUGGUCGUGUUGAGGUAGGUUCAUCGAUUCUAGCAACAAGUUUUUGGUGUAGGCGAAAUGGAGAGUGGCUUUGUUGGUCGUGCUGAGGUAGGUUCAUCGAUUCUAGCAACAAGUUUUUGGUGUAGGCGAAAUGGGGAGUGGCUUUGUUGGUCGUGUUGAGGUAGGUUCAUCGAUUCUAGCAACAAGUUUUUGGUGUAGGCGAAAUGGAGAGUGGCUUUGUUGGUCGUGCUGAGGUAGGUUCAUCGAUACUAGCAACAAGUUUUUGGUGUAGGCGAAAUGGAGAGUGGUUUUGUUGGUCGUGUUGAGGUAGGUUCAUCGAUUCUAGCAACAAGUUUUUGGAUUAGUAGGCGAAAUGGAGAGUGGCUUUGUUGGUCGUGUUGAGGUAGAUAAAAAGCAACACUGUGUCUCUUAAAUACGGUAAAAAGCAUAAGAAUCAGACCAGCUCCCGGCACAUCACCUGAGGCAGUCCGAGAGGCCCUCCACGGCGUACUUGGUGACUACGUAGGGCGCCCGCAUGACGUUGCCCAUCCUGCCG